rnacentral:snRNA from 1 species
UGAUGUAGGGUGAUCUGCCCAACAUGUGUCACCCCACUGAUUGCCAGGGUUGAUUCGAUUUGGCUGGCUAGGCCGGGGUCCCCUUGCCCCUCACCGCUCCAUGUGCGUCCCUCCACCCCCCAUAGAGCAGGACUGCUUCCUCUUCAAGGGAAUAGGAGCAGCUGCACUCCCAUGAGAACCUCCAAACAAGCUCUCGAGAGUGGCAACAUCAACGGUGAGAAGCUGCAUUUACAGUGUGUACCCUUGAUACGAUACACUGAAAAUGGCUCCGUCUGUGUGGUC